AUUGAACGCUGGCGGCAGGCCUAACACAUGCAAGUCGAGCGGAGCGGCAGACGGGUGAGUGAUGCCUAGGCAUCUGACUGGUAGUGGGGGAUAGCGUCCGGCAACGGGAACUAAUACCGCAUCCUAUCAUAUGCGCCUAGGUCGGAUUAGCUAGUGGGUGGGGUAAAGGCCUACCAAGGCGACGAUCCGUACCUGGUCUGAGAGGAUGAUCAGGCACACUGGAACUGAUACACGGUCCAGACUCCUACGGGAGGCAGCAGUGGGGAAUAGUGGACAAUGGGCGAAAGCCUGAUCCAGCCAUGCCGCGUGUGUGAAGAAGGCCUUCGGAUUGUAAAGCACUUUAAGUUGGGAGGCGUUACCAACAGAAUAAGCACCGGCUAACUUCGUGCCAGCAGCCGCGGUAAUUC
rnacentral:rRNA from 1 species